rnacentral:rRNA from 1 species
CAAGGUCUCCGUUGGUGAACCAGCGGAGGGAUCAUUGCUGGAACGCGCCUCGGCGCACCCAGAAACCCUUUGUGAACUUAUACCUUACUGUUGCCUCGGCGCAGGCCGGCCUCCCUGGAGGCCCCUCUGAGAGGAGGAGCAGCCCGCCGGCGGCCAACUAAACUCUUGUUUCUUAGUGAAUCUCUGAGUAAAAAAAAACAUAAUGAAUCAAAACUUUCAACAACGGAUCUCUUGGUUCUGGCAUCGAUGAAGAACGCAGCGAAAUGCGAUAAGUAAUGUGAAUUGCAGAAUUCAGUGAAUCAUCGAAUCUUUGAACGCACAUUGCGCCCUCUGGUAUUCCGGAGGGCAUGCCUGUUCGAGCGUCAUUUCAACCCUCAAGCACUGCUUGGUGUUGGGGCACCGCCUGUAAAAGGGCGGGCCCUGAAAUCUAGUGGCGAGCUCGCCAGGACCCCGAGCGUAGUAGUUAUAUCUCGUUCUGGAAGGCCCUGGCGGUGCCCUGCCGUUAAACCCCCAACUUCUGAAAUUUUGACCUCGGAUCAGGUAGGAAUACCCGCUGAACUUAAGCA